GUUCCCAAACUUCAUUUUAGAUUUGAUUCCUUGAAACUGUUGUUUGCGCAAUGUUUUUCUUUUAAACAAUUCAUGUAUUUUACUAAAAGGAUAAGCUCGUUUUUUUAAAAAGGUAAAUCUGUGUCAUGACCUUAGAGAGGUUAUCAUAAAAAUAGACAGAAGGAAAUAGAAAGUGGUCAAUUCUAGCCAGGACUGCUGCCUGCUGAGAGUGCUGAGCCUCAGACCCGCUGUUUGGGAAAGGACAGUGGCUGGUGCCAGCCAUGUGUGAGGGUGGGCUGUGGGGAAUGGACCUGCCCUCCUGGAUGUGGCCAGCACAGUGGGAUGAGAAGGGAGGAAGCAGCAGCUCUUGCUCUGUGAUGCAUCGCUGUUUGCAGCCUUGUUCGGACACUGCCUCCAGUGCCUACAUGUCACAGGGGCCCUCCACCUCUGGGGAACACUGGCCUGGGGCCACCCCCGGAGCCUGGGCUCAUGGCCCUUCCCUGUCGGCCCCACCAAACCCAUCUUCACAUUCAAGGGUCUCCCCACCAGGGAUCCUCUGGCAAGGUUCAUCCACAGGCACUAUUUGAAAGGUAGAUCGGGAGCAAACAUCCUAGCCCUGGGAGCACCUGUGCCCAGAGACCCCACCCUGUGCAACCUGCCCACAGGGGCAGGGUUGAGACUUGGGGUACUCAGGGGGGUGAAAGAUCUGGCCCAUACCCCAGGCACUGACACUCUGUGUGUCAGGCUGGGUCUGCCCUCCACGGCUGACUCUUCCUCGUGUGCUGACAGAAUUAGGAGGGGCUGGGAGGAGACCUAAGAGGUCACCCACGGCUGCAGCAGCCUUUGAGAACCAGGCAGCCUGAUAAAGUGCCCUGGAACAUUCUGAACUCAAUAAGUUCUGUCUGGAGAGGAAACAAUUAGAAAGAAAAGAAAGAACCCAAGUCCCAGCGGCUCCCCUGUGGCCCUAUGGGGGACACGCUGCUGCUCAUCAGGGCAUCUGGGGAGGCUCAGAACAGGUGCUUUCAUUUCAUGGCCCAUCACUGUUCUCUGACAUCAUCUUGGGAGGCACCCCAAAAAACUGAAGUGUGCAAGCUGUACUGACACACCUUUGUCUCUGCAGACUCCGGCUGGCUUCAUGGACAACUCACCUUGGGGAAAGUAUGUGUCCUCCUAAGGUCAGAAGAGAAGUGGAGAGAGAGAAGGAAACUUUUUCCUGUUCCUGGGACAGUGCAAGUGCAGGCUGACAGCAGGUACAUGGCUUCACAAAGAAGAGAAGCGUGAAGUCAGAGUGGUCCCAGGAAGAGAUAACUGGGAGUCCAGACUUCCAGGAAGGCGGAGCUUUGUGGGGGAUGAAGGUUGUCAGGUGAGGGGAGGGAAUGGGCCACUGGAAAGGUCUUUGGUAACAAGUCGACAGAUAGUAGAAAACAUGUUUGUCCUCAAAGUCACAAUUCUACCUUUAGAGCAGGAUGUGGCUGGAGCGCUCUGGAGCUCUCCAUGGCCACUUGCUGACUGCUGCCUGGGGCACUUCAUUAGCUUCCCUGAGCCUCAGUUUCCCCUUCUCACAGCACAUAGCUCCAUGCUGGGCACACACAUGCAUAAGGCGUAUGAGCCGUCAUUGUCCUCAGCAGCCAUCAUGGUCCAUUCCACACUGAUCUGCUAGCCUGUGACAGGAACUGAGACGGCGGCCUCGCUGGGCUGGGACCCCGGCCAGCUCUGUACAAAGAGGCCUGCUGACUGGUCUGGGUGACAGUGACCUGCUAAUGGUGAGGAGAUGACUCCGGGCCACAAACAUCCCUGCUGUUCCUCGCUUUGUCUCCCACAGCAAGGUGGCUCUCAGGAGAUGAGGUUUCAAUUCCUUCUUUGUCUUUUUCAGAGUGCCUGCUGCCUUGAGAAGUGGUUACCGGGGAACCUGACUCCACUGCACGCACCCCCGCAUUCUUCCACACGCUGGUGGGCCGGGGAGACUAUCCUGGGAUUACAGAUGCCAAGUUAAUUCACACGGGGUAACACUCAUUCGACAUGCCAGUGCCGGCGGCCCUGCUCCGUGGCAGGGGUGGAACGCUGGGCCUGGGAUAAUAGCCUCAUUCACAAGCGUUGGGGCUUAUUCUGCCGGGGAUGGCUCCGGCUUCAACAUCUGGACAGGCAGAGGCGGCACGUGUUCCCCUUAGAGGCCACCAACGAACUGCUUGGAGAACCUGGGGUUAGACAGUUUGGGGUAGACAAAAAAUGGAGUCUGGACUUCCCUGCCUGGCCAGACAGCUCUGAGCUCUGCGGACACCAUCUGAGGACACCUGGGGCGCCCUAAGUUCCAGGAAAGGUAGACCUGGCAGAGUGCGGAAAAGCCCUUCCUUGCAGUGGCCCCGUGGCACAGGCACUGAGGAGCUAUGGGAAGACGCGAGCCUGGCCCGGCGCCCGCAGAGCCCACCCUGUCCAGACCCAGCGCGGCCCUGUGAGCAGCAUUUGAACGUGACUGUGGGCCUUCUCGUGUGGUCCUUCUGCAUCAUAUCUGCAAAGAGGCAAAUGUCUCUUCCAGCCGGAGGGCAUCCAGGCUGCCCGGGCCUGCCCAGCGCCCGCCCUGCCGGUCUGGGGCAGACUUGGGAUCAGGAGGUCCACUUGGCAUGCCCUCACAUUCCAGGAGGACCUCCCGCUAGGUGAGUCCUUACAGUAGCUUCAAACACAGCGAGGCACGGGCCGGCGGCAGGACCCGCUGGCAAGGCCGGGGGACAGGCCCCGUCAAGCCUUCCUCCCGGCUCCCACGCCCGCCACCCACCUGCAGUGCAUCAUGGAAUCUGUAAAUCCUGUAAUUGCCUGCCUUGUGACGAGCAAGGUAUGUUGCAUUGAGGGUGUUUUGUGUUAAGAACGUUAACCACAUUCAAGUUACCAGCAGUUAUUUUAAGCGUUUCUUCGUGUCUUCCUUUGGUGGGAACUUCAAUGAGCUGAGUGGGCAGGGCCUUUCCCUUGGCACCGUCGCCCUGAAACUGCCGCCUCCUGGGAGCCAGCUGCCCCAGCUGCUACUCAUGGCAGCCGACACCAACAAGCACAGGCCCCUGGAAGGGAAGAUGCAGGCCCCGGGGGAAGGCAUGGCCUCUGUUUCUCCAGGGGAGCGCGUGGUCUGACCUGCACUUGACCUCCAGGUCCCCGACCCUCCCUUGUUCCGUGUGCUUUUCCUGUGUCUCCCACUGGCCUGGGGCUGGAGCCUAACCUCUGCCCCCUCCCCAGGCUCUCUGUCCCCUGCCUAGGCCUGCCCUGCCACUCCAGCCAGGGUGCUCCUUGCACCACAAACACCCCAUAAGUUGUUCCCCCACCCCUGUGCCUUUGCACUUGCAACAUUCUUAAAAUGUCUUCCUUCGCCAACUAUGCACAUCUCAAUCCUGCCUCCUCCAGGAAGUCCUCCAGGACCAUGCCUCCCCUCUCCUCCCUUCUCCUCCGCUCCUGGAAGUGGAGUAUCUGGGCCCCUUGUAGCUCUUCACUGGUUUGUAGGUGCAGGCCAGUCCCUGGCCCCUGCCAGGCUGCAUGUUUUCUGGAGAACCUUCAAGCAACCUGGUCACCCAGCGUCCAACACCCUAGGCCCUGGGUGAGGCAUGAGGAGUGGGAAGGACGGGAAGCAUGCUCACGAGACAUGAUUGCAAGGGCUGCCUCAGUUUCCCCAGCCCUGGGAAACGUCCUGGCCAUCCACAGCCUGGGGUCAGUCCCCAGUGUCCACUCUGCUCAAAGUGGCCUUGUCACGGUCCCAGAAGUGCUACCUGGGAUGGCCCCUCCCUGUUCACUGGGUCACCAGGGCGCUGGUCUGGCUGAGCCAGGUCGGGUGGUGGCCUGAGUCCUCGGUCUACCUUCCUCUCCACCCAUGACCUUUUCAACUUUGAGGGGCAGACUCGGCAGGCGUCCUGGACAACCCUGCUCCACCUGGUCACCGACGAGCUGCACCCCCUCCCCUGGGCAAACUGCCGUCCUGGAAAAUGAGAGGCGAAUCCCCAACCGAGAAACCGACUUCCGGGAGCUUCUAACUCAGAGACAGAGCGUCCAUAAGGCAGUGGCCGGCAUCCCUCCAGUGGUUCUCAAGGGACCGCUGAGUCUGGAGGACCAAGGAGCUCAUCGGGUGUGCGUGGGGACAGCAGACACUGCAGGUAGGGAGAAGACCCCGAGGGAGGUCAGCUGAGACUUUGGGACUUUGCCUAAGGGGGUAUGUGUCCCCAAAGAGCUACGCUCAGGGGCAGAGUGACCAGCCUGGCCCUCUCCAAGCUCCCUGGCUAUGAGUAGGGAGCUGCCUGGCCAAGGCCACUGGAAGGGCUGCUGGGAGAAGUCAGGCAAGAGAGUCCAUGGCAUAAAAGAGGGGUGCCCUGUGGUCCCCUCAAUUCCUUCCUGAGAAGUGUCUGCUGUCUGCAAGGCUGGGAGCCCUGAUGGCCACCAGGACCCUGUCCAGCUUGUGCCAACUUGCUCUGAUCUGGAUAUUCUGGUCCAGUGGGCUGGGCAGGCCCAGGUGAGUUCUCAGAGAAGGUAGGUGACAACACUCAGCUCACUCAAGGGUGAGGAAACCUUUUCAAAGUCUCUGAUCAUGUAGCCAGUGACCCGGGCCUGGCAAGGCUUCUGGGCACUCUCCCAAUUAGCAGAAGUUUUCAUUUCCACCCCAGGGAACAAAUGCCACUUUCUGGGUCAGCGGGAGGCCUGAAUGUUCUCCGAACCCCAGGAACAUGGAGCCCCAGAGGGGACUUGGAGAGCUGGUGCAAUUUCCGGAGCCCAGAUGGCUGGUGCUGUUGCAGGAAGUGGGGUGGCUCGUGGCUUUGUGGGCCCGAGGGUGCCCAUGUCUGCAGGCCCCGCCACCCCUCCUGUGGGCCUCAGCCGGGCUUUCAGCUGCACCCUGCCUGCUCACCCAUCCAUGCCCCUGGCACGUAUUCCUUUGUCUUAAGCAAUCCAUUGGGGUCCAGGGCUGGGUCCUCAGAGGGGGCCCAGGCACCCCCAGAAGUCAAGUGCCCCAGCCUAGCACACUGGAAGCAGCCAGGAGGAGGGAACUUCUCUGCGAGCUGCCGAGCCCAGCAGGACAUCCAGGCUGGGCCCAGGACAUGGUGGCUCUGAGAUGGGCACCCGUCCCGAGGCAGGGGCUAUUUCUGCACAGGCGCCAGCUUCCUGGGGGGCCUCUUGCACCCAGCAGUUAGCCCUACAAUCACCUCCCACGUACAUCACCGUCCUGAGCCAGGCCCAGCCUCAGGCCCUGGCGGUCUCCCAGCAUGGCCUUCAGUCAACCCCCUCCCCCCCGGGAAAGGGCUGGGCUCCCUCC